GACGGCGCUCGUGACGAGCGAUCCGGACGAGGCACGCCGUACCCGGCCAGGACAAGACGGUGUCGA
rnacentral:ncRNA from 1 species